GGCUCUGUGGUGCAAAAAGUAGCGCAUUGCACUUCUAAUUCAAAGGUUGCAGGUUCGAGUCCUGCCGGAUUUC